AAUUGUCCCUCCUUUUUCUUUUUUUUUUUUUUCAUUUAAUUUUCUACAAAUCUCUUUGAUUUCUUCGAUCUUUGAAGAACCUGUCAAGACCUCGAUCUCUUUCUUCGCUUUUCCCCCUAGGGUUUCUGCUCCCGAUUCGUAGAUUUUACUCUCUUUUUUUCUUGUCUUCAGCUUCAAUCUCUGUAAAAGAGCUGGAAUCCUUCUUCGCCACUCCUUUCUAGGGUUCCUGCCUGAGAUUUGCUGUUUUGUCCGUUGGGUUCCUGGACAAUACAUUCAAGAAGGUUGAGAGAAUGCAGCAGAGAUUGAAGUAGCAGCAAUAGCAAAUUGAGCCCUCUGUUUUGUAGGAUCCGGAAGAAAGGAGAUGAGAUUUGAGAAAGUAGUUUCUUUCAAUCAAAUUGAGGUACUGCCACAAUUGGCAUUGUAUCGCCAAAAGGUCCAAAAGAUAAGGUGGUGAAACUUAAGCAAGGCAACGCAAUACCACUGAACCAUGGAGUGCACUCAGUGAAGAAGAGAACUAAUGUGUUACUUCUUGGUGAUCGCCUUGGAGAUCUAGGAAUGUCUGAUGGUUUGAACUAUGAGAACCAAAUUGCUGUUGGAUUCUUAUGGAAGGACAAUCCAGUAAUAUAAGAUUCAUGAAUUCCCAUUAUGUGAUUGCUCCAUACAAAGAGUACCCACAACUGCUUGGUUUACUGUUGAAAUUGUUGAAGGAGCUGGUGGAUUGGGUUCAAACAGCUGGUGGAUUGCGAUAGCCUUUGAUUUUACAACUAAGGGCGUGUUUGAUUUUCCAAUUCCCAGGGAAAUGCCCCGUGAAUGGUAAUAAAUAUUUCCCUCCUUAGUUGCCGCACUCUUCCCCAUAAUUGAUUUGACGGCUUACUUUUUGAGUGUAAAACUGACAAAUAUUGUAAAAUAUUUGUGGGUCCCACUAUGAUGCAUAUCAUAUAUCUACACCGUUCAUCCAUUAUGUCAGAUGAAUUUAUAAUAUAAGCCAAAAAAUGAGGCAUAUCCAAAGCUCAAGUGGACCAUGCCAUAGAAAAAUGUGAAUCAAAUACUUACCGUUAAAAACUUCCUGAGGCCAUUGUUUCUUUUGGUAUGGGCCAGUUGAGUGUUGGAUCAACCUCAUUUUUCUUCUUAUAUCUCAAAAUGUUGUGAUAAAAUGGAUGGACGGAACAGAUAUGUCAUAUACAUCAAGAUGGGGUCCUAAAAUGGCCGCUACUACUUUUGAACUGGUUUCCAAGAAUGAAAUUCCCAUGAAUAUCCAAACAAGUGAAACGGUAAUAAUAAGCCAUUUCCAGGGUAUUUACCAUUUCUCGGUGAAACAAUAAAA